AGUGGUUGGGAGGGGAGAGACGGGAGAGGGAGGGGAGAGGAGGGUCGCUGGAAACCCAGAUGCUCCAGCCUUUGAGGAGGGAUUUUACCUGGAGAUAACCUGCUCCAAAAAUGUGUAGUUUCCAACGAAUCUUUGACACAUUAGCCGAUCUUCUCACUUAUUUAUUUCUCCCUAUCCAUGGCACAAUUCGGAUAUAGCCGAGCGCAGAGAGACAGUCUUUAAUCAGGCUUUACGGGCUGGAAAGUGAGAGAAUCUAAACGUGACGUCAAUGCCUAGUAACUGACGCAGCCCUUCAACAUAAAAUGGCUUUUUACUCAUUUUUUUUCUCCCUCUCCUAUCGUCAGAAAAGCUUAAUUACUAAAUUUUACAGUGCUCCGUCAACUGCAGAAAGAAAAAGAAAAUCCCUGCAAGCAGUGCCGGGUAGGCCUUGCUCUUCAAUAUUUGGACACAUUUAGCGUUCACGAGUUUUGUGCUGAAGUAACACUGGGACCAGAAGCUUCUGAAGAGGGCGACAACACCUCAAACAUAGCCGAUGGUAGUGGCAGUGUCCAGAUUCUAGUUGUUAGGAAGGAAAGUGGCGUUUAAAGGAUCAAACGGACGUUUUUGUUUUGUUUGUUUGGUUUUUUUAAGACACUGCAAUGAUGCAACGGAUGAGGACUCGACGCUCUUAAGCAGAGUUGGAGAAACAGUAAAAGAUCUUUUUAUUACAUGGUGCACUACAUGUAACGAUUCCAAGCAAUGCGUUCUUUAGAGCAAGGACGAGCCAGAAUUACGGAGAAAACAGUAAAGAAAACCUCAGUGACCUGUGUGGACUCUGCUGCUGCGGCAGCUUCAGCCUGAGGAGUUAUCCUGCUGCGCUGCGCUCCAGACAGAAAAGGUGAUCAGCGGUUUGCACAGAGGACUGAAUGGCAGAAAUACCUCUAUUUUUUUCUGGAUUUCCCCCAACAAGGUCAGAAGUUAUGAAUUCAAGAGGAAAGAACCUGGAAGCUUUCUCAUUGAUAAAGCAGGAAAGAAGAGAAGGAUCAAAGUUCCAACUUAGAAGAUGAAGGAAGCUUCUUAUGAGCUCAGCUUUCUGCUUUGUUUCUAUCAGCAGCUGAAGCUGAGACGGUUCAGCCAUGAGGUCUGCGCUGAACCAGUCUGAUAUCAGGAUGGAAAGGAAAAUGAGGUGGCAUGAAGUAGUUACCAAUGCAGCAGGUGAAACAAGAAGUGGAGGAACAGGAUGAAGACAGAUGACGACUGGGUGGAGGUAGCAGGAUGGGUGAGCUAAGAGGCGAGCCCACACCUUAUUUCCAUGGGCACCACCCGAAACCAGGAAAGUCAAGUUGGAGCAGGACCCAAAAGCGCCCAUGAUGUCUGAUCUCACAAAGGCAAGGAUGAAGCACAGAAGACCAGUCCUCCCCCCAUCAUGCUGAGCAGCUGCACACUCAGCUCUGCCUCCUGAACACACACACAACAGAUGAAGCAGCUGUCACAUCGCAGUUCUCUGUCGGAUAAAACACCACUGAAGCUGUUUGGCAGACAAAUCAUGGCAGUGAUCUGAGGCCGGAUUCCCCUGUUUGCAGUGUGUGUGUGAGAGAGAGCAUCAGAGUGAGUGUGUGUAUAACAGCUGGAUGCUCAUUUUCUGUCUUCUCAAACAUGUAACAUUUUUCUUGGCUGUGCAACAUUCCAAUCAUACUGUAUAUUGGAUCUGCUGUGUUACAUAUUAAAUAUAAAAUGCAGACCCUUUUUAAACCUGUAUGUUUUCCUCAUUAUUGUACUAGAGCAGUCAGUUUGUGCCAUGAAUUAUUUAUA